AUUGAACGCUGGCGGCAGGCCUAACACAUGCAAGUCGAGCGAGCGGCGGACGGGUGAGGAAUGUAUGGGGACUGCCCGAUGGAGGGGGAUAACUACUGGGAACGAUGACUAAUACCGCAUACUAUCGGAUAACCCAUAUGGGAUUAGCUAGUAGGUGGGGUAAAGGCUCACCUAGGCGACGAUCUCUAGCUGGUCUGAGAGGAUGAUCAGCCACACUGGGACUGAGAUACGGCCCAGACGCCUACGGAGGCAGCAGUGGGGAAUAUUGCACAAAGGGGUCAAGCCUGAUGCAGAAAUGGCGCGUGUAUGAACAAGGCCCUAGGGGUGUAAGAUACUUGCAGUGGGGAUGCGUUACCCGCAGAAGAAGCCCCGGCUAACUCCGUGCCAGCAGCCGCGGUAAUUC
rnacentral:rRNA from 1 species